rnacentral:misc_RNA from 1 species
UUUCCGUAGGUGAACCUGCGGAAGGAUCAUUAUCGAACACAACUUCGAGGAAAGGUUGUGCUGGCCGUCUCUCACCAGAUGGCAUUCGUGCACACCUUUCUGACCCUUCUUUUUCAAAAACCUGUGAACCUCUUGUAGGCCAAGAGAUUGGUCUACGUUUUAACCAUUACAAACUCUUAUUGCAUGUACACGAACGUUUGUUGAUAAUAUAACACAACUUUCAACGAUGGAUCUCUUGGCUCUC